AUUGAACGCUGGCGGCAGGCCUAACACAUGCAAGUCGAGCGGAUGAAGGGAGCUUGCUCCUGGAUUCAGCGGCGGACGGGUGAGUAAUGCCUAGGAAUCUGCCUGGUAGUGGGGGAUAACGUCCGGAAACGGGCGCUAAUACCGCAUACGUCCUGAGGGAGAAAGUGGGGGAUCUUCGGACCUCACGCUAUCAGAUGAGCCUAGGUCGGAUUAGCUAGUUGGUGGGGUAAAGGCCUACCAAGGCGACGAUCCGUAACUGGUCUGAGAGGAUGAUCAGUCACACUGGAACUGAGAAACGGUCCAGACUCCUACGGGAGGCAGCAGUGGGGAAUAUUGGACAAUGGGCGAAAGCCUGAUCCAGCCAUGCCGCGUGUGUGAAGAAGGUCUUCGGAUUGUAAAGCACUUUAAGUUGGGAGGAAGGGCAGUAAGUUAAUACCUUGCUGUUUUGACGGUACCAACAGAAUAAGCACCGGCUAACCUCGUG
rnacentral:rRNA from 1 species